GCCCAACAUGGCUGGAGCGUGGCGGAGGUGAGCCGGCGCCCCCUGCCGCUCCAGUCUGCUGCGC
rnacentral:miRNA from 14 species